rnacentral:rRNA from 1 species
AGCAUGGUCUUAGCUUGCUAAGGCCGAUGGCGACCGGCGCACGGGUGAGUAACACGUAUCCAACCUGCCGUCUACUCUUGGACAGCCUUCUGAAAGGAAGAUUAAUACAAGAUGGCAUCAUGAGUCCGCAUGUUCACAUGAUUAAAGGUAUUCCGGUAGACGAUGGGGACGCGUUCCAUUAGAUAGUAGGCGGGGUAACGGCCCACCUAGUCUUCGAUGGAUAGGGGUUCUGAGAGGAAGGUCCCCCACAUUGGAACUGAGACACGGUCCAAACUCCUACGGGAGGCAGCAGUGAGGAAUAUUGGUCAAUGGGCGAGAGCCUGAACCAGCCAAGUAGCGUGAAGGAUGACUGCCCUAUGGGUUGUAAACUUCUUUUAUAAAGGAAUAAAGUCGGGUAUGGAUACCCGUUUGCAUGUACUUUAUGAAUAAGGAUCGGCUAACUCCGUGCCAGCAGCCGCGGUAAUACGGAGGAUCCGAGCGUUAUCCGGAUUUAUUGGGUUUAAAGGGAGCGUAGAUGGAUGUUUAAGUCAGUUGUGAAAGUUUGCGGCUCAACCGUAAAAUUGCAGUUGAUACUGGAUAUCUUGAGUGCAGUUGAGGCAGGCGGAAUUCGUGGUGUAGCGGUGAAAUGCUUAGAUAUCACGAAGAACUCCGAUUGCGAAGGCAGCCUGCUAAGCUGCAACUGACAUUGAGGCUCGAAAGUGUGGGUAUCAAACA